rnacentral:rRNA from 1 species
CGGAGGGAUCAUUAAAGAGUUCUAUAACUCCCAAACCCAUGUGAACAUACCUAACGUUGCCUCGGCAGGUCGCACUUACCUUGUAGCACCCUACCCUGUAGGGCCUACCCGGGAGAUGCGGGUAAGCCUGCCGGCGGCCCACCAAACUCUGUUUAAUAUUGAAUUCUGAACAUAUAACUAAAUAAGUUAAAACUUUCAACAACGGAUCUCUUGGUUCUGGCAUCGAUGAAGAACGCAGCGAAAUGCGAUAAGUAAUGUGAAUUGCAGAAUUCAGUGAAUCAUCGAAUCUUUGAACGCAUAUUGCGCCCAUUAGUAUUCUAGUGGGCAGGACCGUUCGAGCGUCAUUUCGACCCUUAAGCCUUAGUUGCUUAGUGUUGGGAGCCUACGGCAACGUAGCUCCUCAAAGUUAGUGGCGGAGUUGGUUCACACUCUAGACGUAGUAAUUUUUUAUCUCGCCUAUUAGUUGGACUGAUCCCCUGCCGUAAAACCCCCAACUUAUCAAGGUUGACCUCGAAUCGGUUCAGACAAACUCGCUAAAUUGAAGCAUCUUAGUCAGCGAAGGAAAAGAAACCAACAGGGAUUGCCCUAGUAACGGCGAGUGAAGCGGCAACAGCUCAAAUUUGAAAUCUGGCCCUCGGGUCC